rnacentral:rRNA from 1 species
GACGAACGCUGGCGGCGUGCUUAACACAUGCAAGUCGAACGGAGAUAUAUAUUUAGUUUACUAGUAAUAUAUCUUAGUGGCGGACGGGUGAGUAACACGUGGGCAACCUGCCUUAGAGUGGGGGAUAACAGCGAGAAAUCGUUGCUAAUACCGCAUGAAAUUAGAGUUUUGCAUGAAGCUUUAAUGAAAGGAGAAAUCCGCUAUAAGAUGGGCCCGCGCCUGAUUAGCUAGUUGGUGAGGUAACAGCUCACCAAGGCGACGAUCAGUAGCCGAUCUGAGAGGAUGACCGGCCACACUGGAACUGAGACACGGUCCAGACUCCUACGGGAGGCAGCAGUGGGGAAUAUUGCACAAUGGGGGAAACCCUGAUGCAGCAACGCCGCGUGGAGGAAGAAGGUUUUCGGAUUGUAAACUCCUGUCUUUUGGGACGAUAAUGACGGUACCAAAAGAGGAAGCCACGGCUAACUACGUGCCAGCAGCCGCGGUAAUACGUAGGUGGCGAGCGUUGUCCGGAAUUACUGGGCGUAAAGGGCGCGUAGGCGGCUAAUCAAGUCAGAUGUGAAAACCCUAGGCUUAACCUGGGGAUUGCAUUUGAAACUGACUAGCUCGAGUGUCGGAGAGGAAAGCGGAAUUCCUAGUGUAGCGGUGAAAUGCGUAGAUAUUAGGAGGAACACCAGUGGCGAAGGCGGCUUUCUGGACGAUAACUGACGCUGAGGCGCGAAAGCGUGGGGAGCAAACAGGAUUAGAUACCCUGGUAGUCCACGCCGUAAACGAUGGAUACUAGGUGUGGGAGGUAUCGAACCCUUCCGUGCCGCAGUAAACGCAAUAAGUAUCCCGCCUGGGGAGUACGGCCGCAAGGUUGAAACUCAAAGGAAUUGACGGGGGCCCGCACAAGCAGCGGAGCAUGUGGUUUAAUUCGAAGCAACGCGAAGAACCUUACCAGAACUUGACAUCUCCUGCAUAAUCCGUAAUGGGAUGAAAUCCUUCGGGACAGGAAGACAGGUGGUGCAUGGUUGUCGUCAGCUCGUGUCGUGAGAUGUUGGGUUAAGUCCCGCAACGAGCGCAACCCUUAUACUUAGUUGCUAGCAUUAAGUUGAGCACUCUAAGUAGACUGCCGGAGACAAUUCGGAGGAAGGUGGGGAUGACGUCAAAUCAUCAUGCCCCUUAUGUUCUGGGCGACACACGUGCUACAAUGGGUAAAACAACGGGAAGCGAGAUAGUGAUAUCAAGCAAAUCCCUAAAAAGUACUCCCAGUUCGGAUUGUAGGCUGCAACUCGCCUACAUGAAGUCGGAGUUGCUAGUAAUCGCGAAUCAGCAUGUCGCGGUGAAUACGUUCCCGGGCCUUGUACACACCGCCCGUCACACCACGGGAGUUGGAAGCACCCGAAGCCGGUGACUUAACCCGUUCGGAAGUCAGAGGUCAGAAGAGAGAAGUGAGAAAUGGAGAAAGCCUAAAGGGUCAAAGGAAAAGGCCCAAGAGGAAUAUCAAAGUCCCAGUUCUCAGCUCUGAUUUCCGACUUCUGAAUGGGAGAGAGCUGUCGAAGGUGAAGCCAAUGACUGGGGUG